AUUGCAGUGGGAACCAUUUGCUGUGGAAAGGUUCCCCAACGGAACGUAAAUAAAGUAACAUCAGUCAGUGGAACCGCUACAUUCAAUCAGACUCAAAGGUGGUUGUCGUUGUUUUACUAUCAGUGUUUUAGGGUGCGUGGCCAUGACUCGGGGUAGGAGGACUAAGUUGGAGUCCUGGAUAGAGCAGGUCAUCCUGAGUUAUGGUACAGAGCCAAAGGAGGAAAAGAAGAACACUCUGAUAAAAGUGCAUGUUGUUGGGGUAAUGAGGCAUCUAGUACAUACACUUCAUGCAAGGCCUGUGUUCCAAGUUUAGAAGGUGUGUGUGUGUGUGUGUGUGUCGGCCGAAUGUCAGAGUUCCAAGCCCGGCCGACUGAGGGUUUGACAACGUUGCUGUUCCUCUCUGAUGGAGUGGUGCACAUCCCCACCAUACUGACCCAGGACGCCUGGGAGACUCUUCAGGAGCAGGAGGACCGUGAGUGCUUCUCCAGUCUCAUUAAUUGCACAGUGUGUGUGUAUUCAUACACCCUGUAGUUCAACAUGGACUCUGAGCAGACAAGGAGCCAGUUUUACUUAUCGGUUGGUGAGCUGACCACCACAUCAGCUGGGGCUGCUAAAGACAACACCCCUUGCUGCACAUCGCUCAACUCAGUCAGACAAAAGAUCUGUACAACAUGGAGAUCCCUGCUUGCACAGGAUUCUGUCCAUACUCAAAACACCCAGUCUGAGUUCAGUCAGAGCUGCUGGGGGAGUGGCAGCAUGACUGGCGCCAGUCUUUGUUGAAGGAUGUGAUGGAACUCCUGAGGACACCCACAAACCCCCCCUCCCCACAGCCCUCCACCUACCACGCCCUCACACACACUGGCACCAGAUGGGCUAUUGAAAGGUUCAGAUAUAAGAGGGAGGAUACUUUCAAUGUCCCUGUGUCUCACCUACACAUCCCAGAUGAUCUGACCCAGAAACUACACACACCCUCAGAAGACAACAGUGAAACGCAGAGUGGACUGGUCCCUCCAUCUGAAGACAGAAUGACAGACCCACCAGAGACCGAUCAACCAAUCGUUGCUGCUUACAUUAGGCAGACUGACAGGCCAGUGCCUCUGGAGAGAAGACAUCCUGCUCAUGGUCCCACACUUUCCCAGGAGAGUAUGGAUGGUGAGGUGGUGUCAGGGGUGACCGGAGGAGCAGUGGCGAGCCCAUGGGACAUGUUUGCUCCAGCAGCUGAUCUGCUCAGGACCUCCUCUGCAUCUGACGAAUCCAUCACCUCGGAGCCCCUCCCCCUCCAGAAGAGCCCGUCUCUGCUCGACCCCACUCCACAACCAGUCACCCUUGCAACGUUUCCCCUGGCAACCAACACCCAGGUGCCAACCCUGACCCAUGGGGCUACCCAAAGGUCAGGCGAGCACUCCCUUCCUCCUUAUCAAAAACCAGGCCCCUCCCACAGCCUACUCCCCUCCAGUGGCGGCUCCUCCACUGUGAGUCUAUCUACAAAGCACCAACGCUCUGGCAUGAAGCUCCACCACAGUGGCUAAACCACAACACUUCAACUUCCAGUCACGGAGCAGCAGGAUCAGGUGGAGGAGGAUGUUGUGAAGAGGUGUAGGAAGGUUAAGAAGAAGAGUUCUGUGCAGUCCCCCAAGGAUAAUGAUAUCACCUGGGAGGAGGAAAAUAUGCAGAAGAACUGCAGCCUGCCCUCCUGGAUGUUUGAAACUCAGGAGGUUUCCAGGAUUGGGGAGGGAAGCAGCUGCAAACAGAAGGCAGUUGCAGCAAUAGCCCCCCGGAGGUCCUCCAAUAUUCACAGUGAUGGCACUUCGUUCUCAUAUUCUUAUCAGCUGUGUGGCCGCAUUUCGAAGGAUCUAAGCCAUUUAAAGAUUCCUGAUGGCAUGGUGCACUGGGCUGUACGGUACCUGGUCCCUUCCAUGCAGACGGAGGUUGUCAAGGACACACAGCUGCGACCGCAGACUCACCCCAGUUGACAACCUGAGGUCAUCGCCCCAUCUUCCCAUUGUGUUGAAUCCUUAGUGUACAGAGGCAGCUUUGUUUUUUUAUGAAUCUCUUGUUAUGUUUAUGUAACAUUCUGAAUAUUGAUAAAUAAAUAUACAUUAGUAAUUUAAUUGUGUCAACUCUAUUGAG